GGCAACAGAACGAGACCUUGUUUCCUUCUCUCCCUCCCCAAAAAGAUGAUAGGUUUUUUUUUUUUUUAACUAUAUGACAUUACCAUGUUUUGUGGGUACCAUUAGCAAUUCUAUAUGGUUCAUUCUACUAGACUGUUCAUAGCAGCACUAUUUUUUGUAGAGAAAGACUGGAAACUUCCCAAAUGGUCAUCUGCAGUAGCAUGGUUAAAUACUGUAGUACUUCACCGGUGGAAUAUAGCGAACUACAACUACUUGCAAGAAAAUGCAUGAAUCUUAUGAAAAUAAGAUUGGACAAAGGCAGUAUAUCACAAAAGAGUACAUACUAUAUGAUUCCAUUUUCACAAAGUAUGAAAACAGGCUGAACUACUACUCUGUGGUGUUAGAAAUCAGGAUAGUGGUUACCCUUAUCAGGAGGAAGUGACUAGAGGGUAAGCACAAGGCAGGAGCUUUUAGAAUGCAGGAAAUGUUUGCUUUCCUGAUGCUAGUUGUGUGGAUGUGGUCAGUUUUACAAAUUCAGUGAAUCGUAUAAUUAUGACAUGUACCUUUCUGCAUGUAUAUUACACUAACAUAAAAAGGUAAAAAGAAAAAUCCUAAAUCUAAUUUAAGUUUCAAUUUAACACCAUAGGCUUUUUCUUCUGCUUCCCUCAGUUCUUGUUUGUAUAUAUUUUGACCUGUAGUGAAAAAUCUUGAUACCCCAAAACACCAACAUAUUUAUUCAUUUGCUCAAUCCUACAGUAUAUAAAAUCAUUUCAGAGUUACAACACCAACAAUUUUACUAUUACUAACAAAUCUAUUAAGGUCAAGGUUUCUUUUCAGUUCUUUUUGUUCUUAAACUGUAUCUCAUUGAGGGUAUACAAUCAAGACUGCAUUCAAAAGCUGCUUUCUUUCAUUUCAUACUAGUUUUUAAAAAUAUUUUUAUAUCUUUUUGAUAGAUUUUCUUGGGAACCUAUUGGAAAUAAGUCAGAUAUGACCAUUUAAAGAGACUAAAGAAGUGAUUCAAUUUCUCAUGUAAGGAAAAUAAUUUGUAGGGAGAUCAAGUCAUUGCAGCCUAGACUAUUAUUAUCUUCAACACAUUUUCUAAUAUUAUAGCAUUAUCCUAUCAAUUAAUAUUAUAUAGAAGCCCCAGCUAUGUUUGCUGUUGAUUAAUAUUGCAUACUGAAAGAUCAAGGCCACAUGAAAGCCAUUUUUCCAAAUAGUUCACAUGUAUGUGUAUUGCACUUUAAAAAAAAAAAAAAAAAAAAAA